GGUCUUUUAGUGUAAAGGUCGCACAGUUACCCUUCACAUACCCAGUGUCAGUUCGAAUCUGAUAAAGACUA